rnacentral:rRNA from 1 species
AUGAAUUUAAUUAGUUGGAACUGUCGGGGAGGGGAGAAUUCUCGGACAGUUUGCGAACUUACGACUAUGGUACAGUUGCAUUCCCCCACACUUGUGUUCUUGUGUGAAACCAGGCAAAAGGAAACCAAGAUGAGAAGAAUAUGUGGCCGACUGGGACUUAGGGGGUUUGCGGGUAUGGAUAGCAAUGAUAUGAGUGGAGGUUUAUCUUUGUACUAGCUUGAGUCUUGCAUUUGUGGAUAUAAUAUAAAGAGGAGUGCUUUAUAG